GCCGGGUUGGCUCAGUGGUAGAGCAGGCACACGUAUACUUAGAGGUUUAUGCCUUGACGCAGAGGUCCAGGGUUUGAGUCUGACCUGAUCCGACG
rnacentral:tRNA from 1 species